rnacentral:piRNA from 1 species
UUUCAGACAGAAAAUUAUGGU